rnacentral:rRNA from 1 species
GACGAACGCUGGCGGCGUGCUUAACACAUGCAAGUCGAGCGGUAAGGCCCUUUCGGGGGUACACGAGCGGCGAACGGGUGAGUAACACGUGGGUGACCUGCCCUCAGCUCUGGGAUAAGCCUGGGAAACUGGGUCUAAUACUGGAUAUGACUCCACGGUGCAUGUCGUGGGGUGGAAAGCCUUGUGCGGCUGAGGAUGGGCCCGCGGCCUAUCAGCUUGUUGGUGGGGNGAUGGCCUACCAAGGCGACGACGGGUAGCCGGCCUGAGAGGGCGACCGGCCACACUGGGACUGAGACACGGCCCAGACUCCUACGGGAGGCAGCAGUGGGGAAUCUUCCACAAUGGACGAAAGUCUGAUGGAGCAAUGCCGCGUGAGUGAAGAAGGUUUUCGAUACGUAAACUCUGUUGUGGAGGGAAGAACAAGUACGAGAGUAACUGCUCGUACCUU